AGAGUGCGAUUCACUGAGUGUUCCGGGAGAUGAUAGGAAACUCUGUUUACCUUAUCUUCUGAUUUCUCCUCAGGAACCUCCAGGCUGAAGGGAGAGCACAACAUCAACAGAGCCUGGUGUUAGGCUGGUGGGAGGAGAGAGUCACUGUGCAGGAGACCUGGAGGUGGAACAUCAGGGAGAAUGGAAACCAGUGUUGGGCUUUACCUCUCUCUGGACCCUGAAGACAGCAGGACUCGCCUGCAGAGAGCUCGACUGUGGCUCUGCUGUUUCUGUGGGAUGGAGAGUGGAGUCCUCA